rnacentral:misc_RNA from 1 species
GAAAUGCGAUAAGUAAUGUGAAUUGCAGAAUUCAGUGAAUCAUCGAAUCUUUGAACGCACAUUGCGCCCGGGAGUAAUCUCCCGGGCAUGCCUGUCCGAGCGUCAUUUCAGCCCUCGAGCCGCUAUUCUUAGUGGAUCGGUGUUGGGGCACUACGGUAAAACGUAGGCCCCGAAAUGAAGUGGCGGUCCCGCCGCGGCGUCCUAUGCGUAGUAACUUUCAGUCUCGCAUCGGGUCCCGGCGGUGACCUGCCGUCAACCUAAUUAUUUUCUAUGGUUUGACCUCGGAUCAGGUAGGGUUACCCGCUGAACUUAA